AAACCUGCACAUGCAGAGACCUCACUUCCCUUCCUUCUUUCAGGCCAUCAGACUUCCAAGUCUUCCUCCUUUCCCACUGUCUUACCCCAUCCCCAGUCCUCCCUCCCUCUCCUCUUUGACCCAUUCUCUCUUUCGCUUUGAUUUCGCCUUUGCUGCUCCCGCGUUUGGGGAUCGCGCGGCUGGGUGCUCGCUCGCGCCGCAUUCCGGGGGCCGCGCGCGGCCGGGCGGUGGGGCGGACGCCUUAAUUCCCGCCGGAGACCCUGCGGGUUGGGCCCUCCUGGCUAUUCUUUCCCGGCUCCAGUUCUCCUCUCUCUGCAGGGCACAGAAGAGCUGAGCCAAGUUCAAAGUCACGUCGCCGUCCCUUCUCAGAAGUGCUUUAUUUCUCUACAAACCGCAAACCCCUUUACUUCAUGACACUUUUUUUUUUUUUUUUAAAGGAAGGAAAGUGAAGAGAGAGCGAGAGAGAGCAAGGGGGGAAAAAGAAAGCAUGCAAAGGCUUUCAGAGUUACUGCCUCAAAAGUAGACUCGGGUUCCUUGGCUGAAGGAAAAAAGCAGCCAAGCGGCACAUUGUGAGUGAAUUCAGUUUUUCAACAGGUUUCUGGAAGGGCCCGUCUGUGGCAGUGUCAGGCCCGCAGGACCCACAACUGUCUCCAUCCGGCAAACAUGUCCCCUCUUUGUAAGUUUCCCAAAACUAUGCUUCCGAAAUCUUGCGGAGGCUGCGCGCGGCUGGGCCACAGGCCGGGGCUUGAGCGGAUCCCGCUCCAGGCCGCGCGGGCCGGUGUUCAUUUCUUUGCAAGUAGAGGGAAUGGCAGCGCGAUGGAGAAUUGGGGUUGUCUUCAAAAACCAGAAAAUCCCGCCAACACCCGAGCCCCCAUCAACCAAAGCACCUCGUUGCCGUUUGUGGGCAUCUGUGAACAGUGUUGACUGAGUUCUUUUGUGCUUCUUCAAAUAUUGAAGUAUAGAUAUUGGAAGGGGUGUGGAGUGAGAGGAACUACCCAAGAAAUUUGAGAUUUUAUUUUUAACUGCACAACCUCUACUUCUUCAUUUCCCAUCCAAAAACAUCCUAAAGGGAUUGAACCCAAAGCUGCCAUUACUACAAGAAUUAAUGCUUAUUGCCAAGAAAUUCAAAUAAUGGAAACUCAUUGGAAAGGUUCGGAGAGGAAACGAAGACAGUGAUAAUUCCAAAUAUGAUGUUUUCUUCAUAUACUAUCCAUGGAGAUGGCACAGUUCUCUAUCAACCUCUGCCUGGUUGGCUUGAAAUGUUUUAAGUCUUUGAUAUAAAAAUUGUGAAAGGACUGGUCCUUUCCAAAGAGAGAUGAUUCUGUUACCGCUGUUUAUUAAAUGUUUUUCGUUUUAUUUCCA
rnacentral:lncRNA from 1 species